rnacentral:rRNA from 1 species
UUCCCGGGCCUUGUACACACCGCCCGUCACACCAUGGGAGUGGGCUGCAAAAGAAGUGGGUAGUUUAACCUUUCGGGGAGGACGCUCACCACUUUGUGGUUCAUGACUGGGGUGAAGUCGUAACAAGGUAGCCCUAGGGGAACCUGGGGCUGGAUCACCUCCUUAUACGAAGAUA